GAUGAAGAACGUAGCGAAAUGCGAUAAGUAAUGUGAAUUGCAGAAUUCAGUGAAUCAUCGAAUCUUUGAACGCAUCUUGCGCUCCUUGGUAUUCUGAGGAGCAUGCCUGUUUGAGUGUCAUUAAAUUCUCAACUACACUGACUUUGAAUUGGUGUGGCUUGGAUUUGGGGGGAAAAUUGUUGUGGGCUUUUUGUAUAGUCUGCUCCCCUGAAAUUGAUUAGCGGUACCUUUGUGGAACUGUCUACAGGUGUGAUAAUUAUCUACAUCUUAGACAUCUGCUGGAAUGCUGCUUUCUAAACCUUACUUGUAUUGACAAUCUUGACCUCAAAUCAGGUAGGACUACCCGCUGACCUUAAGCAUAUCAAUAAGCGGAGGA
rnacentral:misc_RNA from 1 species